CCAAUCAACUUUCGAUGCCACUUUCUGUGCCUACCAUGGUGACCAUGGGUAACGGGGAAUCAGGGUUCGAUUCCG